rnacentral:piRNA from 1 species
UGUAGGAGGUAAAACCAAUUCUGGAAGUGC